rnacentral:misc_RNA from 1 species
CCCAUUCUCAAAAUGUCUGACAGAUCGAGUGAAAAAUAACAGUCUCGUAUACAGUAUCUGAGCAGUUUUUUGGAUACAUUUGUCAUCAGAAGUUGACUUCCAAAAACAUCGAAGCUUUGCAACACAGUAGGUGUUUCUGCAAAUUCUGCAGCCUUCUACUUGAGAUGCACACUGAAACUCAGGGCUCUGCUCAGGCUGACAUUAUUAUUCCCACUCGUUUCUGGUACACCAGCAGCUCUGACAACGGCAAAGCCGGAGGCGCCAGUGUACCGCCCCGUCCCUCCGACAACCGCGACGUGAGACUCCUCCUGGUCGUCGCGGCGGACGCCGAAGAAGCUGAUGCUGUCGUCCGCGCCGUCGCCGGCGAACGAGGCCUUCACGGACACCAUAUGGCCGCCGUUGUCAGCCACGCCGACGACGAGGACGCCCUGCAGCGUCCCAUCCAGAGGCAGCCCGAACUCCUUGCUGUCGCGGAGCCGCUCG